AGAUAUAGGAAGAUGUGGUGUGAGUGCCAAUGAGACAACUCUCCAUCCAAAUAACAAUUUAUAAAGUAAACCAUUAUAGGUUAAAGUACGGCCUUCAACACAGAGCCUUGGCUCACACCGAACAACAAGCUAUAAAGGGCCCCAAAAUUACUAGUGUAAAACCAUUCAAACGGGAAAACCAACGGUCUAAUCUAUAUAAACAAAACGAGAAACGAGAAACACGUAUAUAUUACAUAAACAAACGACAACUACUGUACAUCAGAUUCCUGACUUAGGACAGGUGCAAACAUUUGCAGCGGGAUUAAACGUUUUAAUGGAUCCAAACCUUCUCCCUUUUUCUGAAGCAAAAGCAUAACAUCACAAC
rnacentral:lncRNA from 1 species